GACGUAGGGCGCGAGCGUUGUCCGGAAUUAUUGGGCGUAAAGGGCUCGUAGGCGGUUUGUCGCGUCGGGAGUGAAAACCAGAGGCUUAACUUCUGGCUUGCUUUCGAUACGGGCAGACUUGAGGCAUGCAGGGGAGAACGGAAUUCCUGGUGUAGCGGUGAAAUGCGCAGAUAUCAGGAGGAACACCGGUGGCGAAGGCGGUUCUCUGGGCAUGUUCUGACGCUGAGGAGCGAAAGUGUGGGGAGCGAACAGG
rnacentral:rRNA from 1 species